rnacentral:rRNA from 1 species
GACGUAGGGCGCAAGCGUUGUCCGGAUUUAUUGGGCGUAAAGAGCUCGUAGGCGGUGUGUCGCGUCGGCCGUGAAAACCUGCAGCUUAACUGUGGGCUUGCGGUCGAUACGGGCAUCACUGGAGUUCGGCAGGGGAGACUGGAAUUCCUGGUGUAGCGGUGAAAUGCGCAGAUAUCAGGAGGAACACCGGUGGCGAAGGCGGGUCUCUGGGCCGAUGACUGACGCUGAGGAGCGAAAGCGUGGGGAGCGAACAGG